UAACUAUGCACGUGUACAAAAUCUGAUGAAUGUCAUUGGAUGCAGUAUAAAAUCAUUGAUUGCGUUGGUCUUUGCAGGUGUGGGGUGUGCCUGGACUUUACCAAGGUGGCCAGGUGCCAGGACAAGGGUUUGGUGGUCGUGGAGUGUUGCCCGGUGUGGCCACUGGGAACGGACUCAAUCCCAAAUCAUUGCCAGGUGGAGGACAGCAGGGACCAGGAGGCUCGGGUCGUGUUGGUUAUGGAGGACCAAUGCAGCCAGGAGUAUUCCAUGGAUACCCACUCAAAACACCCAAAACACAAGGUGGCUAUGGAGCAAAAGUUGGAGGAGCUGGAGGCAAACUUCCAUUUGGAUAUGGAGGCUUUGGUGGUGGUGGUGGAGCAGGCCUUCCUGGUGGAAAAGGUGGUCCUGGAUCCAAGCCUGGAUACCCCAUUGGAACUGGUGUUGGGACAGGAGGUCUUAACCCGGCCCAGGCUCAGGCUAAAGCUGCUAAAUAUGGUGCUGGUCCUGGUUUGGGUGGUGUGCCUGGUGCAGGUGGAGCUUACCCUGGAGCAGGAGGAGCUUACCCUGGAGCAGGAGGAGCUUACCCUGGAGGAGUCCCAGGAGGUGCGGGUGGGGUCCCAGGUCUUGGAUCAGUAGCAGGAGGAGCAGGAGGAGUACCUGGAUGGUUACCCGCAGGAGCUGGAGGAUAUAACCCUGCUGCGGCCAAAGCUGCUAAAUAUGGAGUUCCAGGGGGUGCAGGUGCAGGCCUAGGAGCUGGAGGAUUUGGUGGGGUACCAGGAGGAGGAGGAGGGGGUGUACCUGGGGCCGGAGGACUCCCAGGAGGAGGUGCAGGCAGGCUCCCAGGUGCUGGCUCAGUCGCAGGAGGAGCAGGAGGAGUACCUGGGGCUGGAGGAUAUAAUCCUGCUGCGGCCAAAGCCGCUAAAUAUGGAGUUCCAGGAGGAGCAGGUGCAGGGUUAGGAGGAGCUGGAGGCUAUGGAGCGGGAGCCAGGCCUCCCUAUUACGGUGUUCCAGGGGGUGCUGGAUUUGGGGGAGCAGGAGCUUUUCCAGGGUCUGGAGGAUUCAACCCUGCCGCCGCCGCCAAAGCUGCUAAAUAUGGGGUCCCAGGAGGUACAGGGGCAGGCCUAGGAGCUGGAGGUCUUGGAGGAACAGGAGGGGUACCAGCAGGAGGAGCUGGGGCUGGAGGUGUCCCCGGAGGUGCAGGAGCAGGCCUAGGAGCAGGAGGAGUACCAGGAGGAGGAGCAGGGGGGGUACCUGGGGCUGGAGGAUAUAAUCCUGCUGCAGCCAAAGCAGCUAAAUAUGGAGUUCCAGGAGGUACAGGAGCAAGCCUAGGAGCUGGAGGACUUGGAGGAGGAUAUGGAGGAGCAGGAGGGGCUGGGGCUGGAGGAUAUAACCCUGCUGCGGCCAAAGCUGCUAAAUAUGGAGUUCCCGGAGGUGCAGGAGCAGGCCUAGGAGCUGGGGGAGCAGGAGGAGUACCAGGAGGAGGAGCAGGGGGUGUACCUGGGGCUGGAGGAUAUUAUCCCGCUGCGGCCAAAGCUGCUAAAUAUGGAGUUCCAGGAGGCCUAGGAACAGGCUUAGGAGGAGGAGGACUUGGAGGAGUACAGGGAGGAGUACCUGGAGGAGGAGCAGGGGGUGUACCUGGGGCUGGAGGAUAUAAUCCUGCUGCAGCCAAAGCUGCUAAAUAUGGUCAGGGGGCUGCUGGUGGGCCAGGGGGUGGAUAUGGUGGCGUGCCUGCUGGAGGAUAUCCCAGGCCUGGGGGCUAUGGGGGGUAUGGAGGGGCAGGAGCUGGAGGGUAUAAUCCUGCUGUGGCCAAAGCUGCUAAAUAUGUCCCAGGAGCUGGAGGAGCAGGCCUAGGAGCUGGAGGAGCAGGCCUAGGAGGAGCAGGAGGAGUACCAGGGCCUGGGGCUGGACCAGGAUAUGGAGGCUAUGGAGGAUAUGGAGGGGUACCAGCAGGAGGGGCUGCUGCUGCGGCCAAAGCUGCUAAAUAUGGAGUACCAGGAGGUGCAGGAGCAGGCCUUGGAGCUGGAGGACUUGGAGGAGCAGGAGGAGUACCAGGGGCUGGAGGAUAUAACCCUGCAGUGGCCAAAGCGGCUAAAUAUGGAGUCCCCGGAGGUGCAGGAGCAGGCAUAAGAGCUGGAGGAACAGGAGGAUUACCAGGAGGAGGAGCAGGGGGUGUACCUGGGGCUGGAGGAUAUAAUCCCGCUGCAGCCAAAGCUGCUAAAUAUGGAGUCCCAGGAGGUGUAGGAACAGGCCUAGGAGCAGGAGGACUUGGAGGAGGAGGACAGGGAGGAGUACCUGGACAAGUAGGAGCUGGAGGAUAUGAUCCCGCAGCCAAAGCUGCUAAAUAUGGUAUGCCAAGUGGGGCGGGCAUCGGUGGAGAAGGUGUGCCAGCACCUAUAGCGACUCCAAGACCAGGUGUGGGCGUGGGUGGUGGUGUUGGAGGAACUGCCAUUGAGCGCACUGACGUACCAGUGGGCACAGGGAUACCUAUCGCAGGCAAACCAGGUGCCACAGGAGUAACUGGAGUUGGGGCUGGGGUUCUUCAACCUAGUGUUGGUACAGGCCCAGCUCAGCCUGGUGUGGGUGUCGGAGCAGGUGGCAAAGCUCCUAAACCCCCUGGUGCAGGGGGAUACCCGUAUGGUGGUUAUGGACAGGGUGCUGGUGGAUAUCCCUAUGGAGGAGGACAUGGAAAUCCAUACGGAGCAGGAGCUGGACAACUUCCUGGAGCCAAGCCCCUGAAACCUCCAGUUGUGGGAGGAGCAGGUGGUGUGGCUGGAGGAGCAGGUAUCCCUCUUACUGGAGCAGGUGGUGGUGCAGGUGUGAGGUAUCCCACUGGUGUUGGUCUGGGGGCAGGAGCAGGUCAAAAAGCACCCAAACCCCCAGGUUAUGGUAACCUAGGUGCUGGUGGUGCUGGUUAUAAUCCAGGUGCUGGUGCGGUCCCAGGUUACGGCGGUGGCUACCCACAACAACAGGGUUACCCACAGCAAGGUGGCAGCUACCCACAACAACCCUACCCAGGAGCAUAUGGAGCAGGCCAGACGGCACCACUGACUCCUCAACAAGCCAAAGCAGCCAAGUAUGGCCCACUCCAGGGCUUCCUUGGUGGAGCAGGAGGAGGAGGCUACAGACCAGGAGGAGUUGCUGCUGGAUGCCAAAGCAAAUACUGUGGAAGGCAGAAGUAGAGGAUGUUCUUCAGAAGAAGUUGAACCUCAAGAAACAAUGGUGCUACUGCAUGAUCUAGAAUGUACAUUUUAUAUGCACAAAAUCCCCCAUUACAGUAUGUAAAGAUAUGUUGUACUUUAUUUGACUCAAUAUAUUUUUUAUACAAACCCACCGACCCAGACUUUUGCACACAUUUGAUGUGACUUAGUGUUUUUGAUUGUGCCUUUAUCAUUGUUCAUUGUGUUCAUCAGCUCUUACUGACAUGUCUGCGAUGCUCCCUUUUAGUAGUUACCAAGUGUUUGUAUGUGCAUGCAUGUGUGUGGGCGUGGAUGUGUGGCUGUGUGUCUCUCUAUGUGCUUGUGAGUUUUCACAUGUUGCCAGAGAUGUUUGGGUAUAUAGGAGAAUAUGAAAGAUUAUCCAACUAGAGCCAUUCAGCAUGCUUUUAAUGCAGAGAAGUGCUCCAAGUCAAAACCAGCACCAUUCCUGUAACUGUACAUCCCUCUCCAUGUGCUUAGUGUCUGUGUGUACCAAAGUUGGAGAUCUUCACAUACUGACAUCUCAAACCAAGGGUUGAGCUUCAAGAGGUGUGGUUGGUAAAGUGCUGAUAAACUUUGGCCAUGUAUCUUCAGAACUGCCUCCUCUGGCUUUCUAUCAUCUCUGCUGCUAUUUAUAGCCCUGGGUGAAAUAGCAGUGGCAUAGCGCGUGUGUGUGGGCACAGGUUUCACAGUCCAUCUGCCAUCAGCAACUUUGACUAUAUUUUAAGUGCCAUGGUGUAAGUAGCCUUCUUGCCUUGAUUUCUGACAAACUUGGGAAGUAUGAAGAGCAGGUGUUGCUCUGAAUGUGAUAAAGCUGAUGACAAUCAAUCCAAAGGUGUUCAAAAGAUUUGUAGGUGAUAUCUUCAGUGAUAUUCAUAUCAUACAUUGUGUUGGUUUGUACCCAAGUCCUUUCAAAUGGUGUGUUUUGUUUUUUAAAUGAUUUGUAUGUUUUAAGUUUUACAAACAUGUAAAAGUAAAACUGAAAUCCUUUCGAUACUGCUCUGGCAUGUCUUGUACGUUAUGUAUGUAUGUAUUGAACAUUUUGUUUUAUUAAUUACUUAUCAUUUUUCUGGUGUCCAAGAUUAAGUGCCUAGAAUGUUAUGCAUAUCUGUAAUCAAUCUAGUUUCACAUGCAGUUAUAGUUUCAUUUAUGCAAAUUGUCGCUCAUUAUUCAAGUUUCAAAUGUUUCCGCUCAUGAAAGUAGACUAUCACCAUAUUUGUGUAAUCUUGAAUAAGGCAAAAAAUGUUUGUUAAAAAAAAAUAUAUAUUUGGGUAAUGCAUUUAAUCACUGUUGAGAAUUUUAAUAUGUGUCUGUGUGUAGGCUAUAGCCCCUAGUCUGUGUAAAUUGUGAGAGUGAGCUCCCAUUUCACUCUUUACUUGAGUUAGUUACAGUUGAAUAAGACUCACUAGACAUUACUGACCAAAGAUUGAUUCGCUCUGUUAUAAAGUUACACUACGAUGUCUCUUUAGGGAUUGUGUGUACUGUAUGUUGUAGUAAUUGCCCUAGGUUAUCAUGACUCUCACUCGCUUCAGUUUUUGUAGCCUACUCGUGAGGCUUUUUCUGAACUGUGUGUGAGCCGCUCCUCUGCCGUGCGGUGGGAUAGUAUUCAUCUUAUUUAAAUGGAAAAAGGAGGAACGAUGGGGUUUUGCACUUUUAUAUUUUCAUGACGCACAUGUGACUUGUUCCCGGUAAUCCCGGCAUUUUAUUUGCUUAAGUAAAAUAACGAAAUAAAAUGGUUAAUAAAUACACA
rnacentral:lncRNA from 1 species